rnacentral:rRNA from 1 species
UACAGAGGGUGCAAGCGUUGUUCGGAAUUAUUGGGCGUAAAGAGCUCGUAGGCGGUGUGUCACGUCGGCCGUGAAAACCUGCAGCUUAACUGUGGGCGUGCGGUCGAUACGGGCAUCACUGGAGUUCGGCAGGGGAGACUGGAAUUCCUGGUGAUAGCGGUGAAAUGCGCAGAUAUCAGGGAGGAACACCGGUGGCGAAGGCGGUCUCUGGGCCGUACUGACGCUGGAGGAGCGAAAGCCGUGGGGAGC